GCGCUGGUGGUUCAGUGGUAAAAUUCUUGCCUCCCAAGCAGGUGGCCAGGGUUCAAUCCCCGGUCAACGAA
rnacentral:tRNA from 1 species